rnacentral:rRNA from 1 species
UACGUAGGGUGCAAGCGUUGUCCGGAAUUAUUGGGCGUAAAGAGCUCGUAGGCGGUCUGUCGCGUCUGCUGUGAAAACUCAGGGCUUAACCCUGAGCUUGCAGUGGGUACGGGCAGACUAGAGUGCGGUAGGGGUGACUGGAAUUCCUGGUGUAGCGGUGGAAUGCGCAGAUAUCAGGAGGAACACCGAUGGCGAAGGCAGGUCACUGGGCCGCAACUGACGCUGGAGGAGCGAAAGCAUGGGGGAGCGAACAGG